rnacentral:pre_miRNA from 12 species
ACUAAAAAAUGGUGUACAGGAAAAUGACCUACGAAUUGAUAGACAAUUUGGCUAAGUUUGUCUGUCAUUUUUGUAGGCCAAUAUUCUGUAUAUCUCUUCUGCUUC